UCAACUUACACACUCAAUUGUUUGUUUUUCAACAGCUGUGGAGUGGCUGUUACAUCAGGUGUUGUUCUGAACACUUGGGUACAGCAAGAGUGAAACUAUGGCCAAUCCCUGUGUUUAUGGAGCUUACAUGAGGGCUGACUGCUGAACUACAAAUACCAUGCUUAGCUUCUAAAGCUGCAGGCUGGAAAAGCCACACCACGAAACGUUGGCAGAGGUCAGGCUUGUUUUGACCUCACAGCAGUGGCUUCAUGGACCUUCAGCUCUCAGCACACACAUGCUGUGUUGUAACCUCCCAUCUGAUGUCAGAGUUUGUCUGAAUGGCCAUUGUAGUAUUAUAGAAAUGAUAUAUCACCUCUGAGAUUUUGGUCAUAAAAGACACCAUGG
ensembl:lincRNA